rnacentral:rRNA from 1 species
UACGUAGGGUGCGAGCGUUGUCCGGAAUUAUUGGGCGUAAAGGGCUCGUAGGCGGUUUGUCGCGUCGAGAGUGAAAACCUUGGGCUUAACUCAGGGCUUGCUUUCGAUACGGGCAGACUAGAGGUAUGCAGGGGAGAACGGAAUUCCUGGUGUAGCGGUGAAAUGCGCAGAUAUCAGGAGGAACACCGGUGGCGAAGGCGGUUCUCUGGGCAUGAUCUGACGCUGAGGAGCGAAAGUGUGGGGAGCGAACAGG